UGGGGACGACUGUUGGGACCGCCUCUGCUAAGAGGAGGAAGGAAUGGGCAACGGUAGGUCAGCAUGCCCCGAAUUAUCUGGGCUACACGCGGGCUACAAUGGGUGGGACAAUGGGUAUCGACACCGAAAGGUGAAGGCAAUCUCCUAAACCCAUCCGUAGUUCGGAUUGUGGGCUGCAACUCGCCCACAUGAAGCUGGAAUCUGUAGUAAUCGUGUCUCAAAAUGGCACGGUGAAUAUGUCCCUGCUCCUU
rnacentral:rRNA from 1 species